CCUACGGGAGGCAGCAGUGAGGAAUAUUGGUCAAUGGGCGCGAGCCUGAACCAGCCAAGUCGCGUGAGGGAAGACGGUCCUAUGGGUUGUAAACCUCUUUUGUCGGGGAGCAAAACACGCCACGCGUGGCGUUCCGAGAGUACCCGAAGAAAAAGCAUCGGCUAACUCCGUGCCAGCAGCCGCGGUAAUACGGAGGAUGCGAGCGUUAUCCGGAUUUAUUGGGUUUAAAGGGUGCGCAGGCGGAAGGCCAAGUCAGCGGUAAAAUUGAGAGGCUCAACCUCGUCUAGCCGUUGAAACUGGUUGUCGUGAGUGAGCGAGAAGUAUGCGGAAUGCGUGGUGUAGCGGUGAAAUGCAUAGAUAUCACGCAGAACUCCGAUUGCGAAGGCAGCAUACCGGCGCGCAACUGACGCUCAUGCACGAAAGCGUGGGUAUCGAACAGGAUUAGAUACCCGUGUAGUC
rnacentral:rRNA from 1 species